GACGAACGCUGGCGGCGUGCUUAACACAUGCAAGUCGAACGGUGAAGCGCCUUCCUUUUUGGUGGGUGUGGAUGAGUGGCGAACGGGUGAGUAACACGUGAGUAACCUGCCCCCUUCUUCUGGAUAACCGCAUGAAAGUGUGGCUAAUACGGGAUAUUCUGGGUCUGUCGCAUGAUGGGUCUGGGAAAGAUAUUGUUUCGGUGGGGGAUGGGCUCGCGGCCUAUCAGCGUGUUGGUGGGGUGAUGGCCUACCAAGGCGGUGACGGGUAGCCGGCCUGAGAGGGUGGACGGGCUGACGGGGACUGAGACACGGCCCAGACUGGUACGAGAGGCAGCAGAGGGGACUAUUGGACAAUGGGGGCGAGCCUGAUGCAGCGACGCCGCGUGAGGGAUGGAGGCCUUCGGGUUGUGAACCUCUUUCGCCAGUGAAGCAGACCUGCCUCGUUUGUGAGUGGGUUGACGGUAGCUGGAUAAGAAGCGCCGGCUAACUACGUG
rnacentral:rRNA from 1 species